GAUCUUGGUGACUGUGGCUGUUUAAGAAGACACAGGUUGUGCCUGUGUAUUCAAACGCCAAGAGAAGAAAGUCAGCUUCUCAGGAAAGGAUUGUGCAGACCUACCAGAGCUAAGUGAGUCACAGUGCUGGUGGAGCAUCACCUCCUGUCUGCAUCCCAGCGGCGCCAUCCUCACAUGACUGAAGGCAGAGCAGGUCCAGAGGCUGCUGUUUAAGCAAAUGGUCAGCUUCCUACCAGAUAUACAAGGACAACAGCUGGACAGUUAUUGAAGUAGAUGUCCUGAUGCGAUGGAUGAUUUGGAAAGAAAAACAGGAUAAGAAGCAGCUUAGAGACCUGUGCUGAUCUGAACAGCAAGAUUGGGGGUCCUGGGCUUCAUGCUCCACUGCCCACCUGAUGGAUAAUGCCCUUCACCCUGACUGAACUGCUCUUUUGUCAGAUCAGUCAGUGCCUUGGUCACAUUUGGAGGAUGGCAGGGUUAAAGAGGAGAUGAAAAAGUGAUAGAUCGUAUCUGCCUGUAUUUCCCAUCUACAGGUUACUGAGUAUGUGCUAUAGCAUAAUCCCUAGACUUAUCUUUCUGCUAAAUGUCACAAACCAGCUUGAAAACUGAAAAAAUAAAUACAUGAACUACUCUUGCAAUUAGAAAUGGCUACUCUGCAUGCUGGAGGGACCUUCUCAUGUCCUUCAGUGGUAUGCAAGGCAGGGCUUGUUUUACCCUGGGAACAUUCAACCUAAAACUUUUGGGCACUUUUACGCUUGUAAGGAGAAAGUUACGCUGCUCACUCAGUGCACCUGAGACCAAAAACCACACGGUAUUUCUUGCAGGAUACUCACAGUUCAGCUCAGCCUAUGAUCCUAGCAAUAGAGGUCAAUUUGACAUUUCAAAACUCAGAUCAAAUACAAACUCAUAACGAAGGUUAUGUUCUGCCAAAAGGAAGCGAGUCUUCCCAGUGGGAGUGAUUUACUUGCAACAUAAAUGCAGGGCUGAAUACUGUGAAAUACACAGCUCCAAUUUUGAUCAGCCAGAAAAGAGAGCCUUUAUCGCGAUGCCUCAGCCUGCUUUCACAACGUCAUAGGAGUUUGACCAGCUCUUUUCCAUCAGUGACUCUGGAGGACAUCAAAGGAAAAAUCAGCUGACAGGUAUUUCUAGAUUUGUUGUAGGUAAUUAGGAAUAUGGUGUCUCAGCUCUGACAGAACCCCUGAUUUUUGUUAGCUGGGCCUCUGCUUGGAAAUUAUGCCAAUAGCAUAGGCCAGGAAAUGUGUGGGGAAAGUUAAUUGCAGCCUGAGUGUGUGAUAGUUUGCAGUGUUCCUGCUGAUUGGGGUACAUGUAAGGAUUUCAUUUUAAAGCAGAAUUCUGUGAUACAUUUCUCUUUCCUAAUAUUAUGGAAUGCAAAAUCUGGCUUAAA